CAAACAAAUGCAUAAGCAGCAGCAGCACCAGCACCAAUUAUGUCCUUACUGUGUAAAAAUAUGUCGACGAGCUAUCCGAUUUUCCAGUGUUACCUUAAACAAACAACUUCACCUCAUAAUAAUAAUAAUAAUAAUUCCUACAACUGCUACUAUUACAGGAGAAGGAGGAGGCAAGUGAGUAGUAGCUUAAAAUACAAUAAAAAUCAAACAUUUCCUCCUCUUCAGGAGGUCCCAGGAUGCCACUCCUCUUUCCAGAUAAGGGAUAUUAGAUACAGACCUCCCGGAACCGAACUCAACCUUUUAAAUGAUGUUAAUUUUACUCUACCUGAGAAAAGUUUUGGCUUGAUUUUCGGGCGGAGUGGAAGUGGUAAGACUACCCUUUUGCAGCUUAUUGCAGGGCUAACGAAACCAACAUCUGGUUCCAUUUGCGUCCAAAGAUAUGGUGAUGAUGGAAACCCGAACGAACCUCCUGUCGUAUUAUCUCCGGAAAGAGUUGGUAUUGUUUUUCAGUUUCCUGAAAGGUACUUUGUCGCAGAUAAUGUUUUUGAGGAAAUUACAUUUGGGUUGCCUCGACAGAAAAGUGACUUUAAAACUAAAGAGCGUAUUGCUAAAAGACUUGAAAGAGCUAUCACUUCGGUUGGUCUAAAUGGUAUUUCCUUCGACAAAAAUCCGAACUCCUUAAGUGGUGGCUACAAACGUCGUCUUGCUCUUGCUAUACAGCUGGUACAAACUCCAGAACUGCUGGUACUUGAUGAACCUCUAGCUGGUCUUGAUUGGAAGGCACGUGCUGAUGUUGUUAAGCUCCUGAAGGAUUUAAAGAAAGAAUUGACUAUACUCGUAGUAAGCCACGACCUUAAAGAGUUAGCACCUCUGGUUGACAGAUCAUGGAGGAUGGAAGUGGGUGGGGUGCUGAUGGAGGAGCCACUACCGUUAUAAUCUUUUCACGAUGUUAUUCCAACGUUAUGACUUUGAUUCCUUCCAAAGGAUCACUGGAGAUUUACUUGGAAAAUGGUUGUUAAUAGUGUGCCGUGUGACUUUGGAAGUUGUUCACUAUCCAUCUCGUUCAUUAUAAUACAUCGAAGAAUUAUCCAAUCUGUACUUGGUAUCCUAGUGGUCUGGAAUCUGGAGGGUCGUUUUAGAGCUGAAAGCACUUGAUGUAGCCAACAUCAUAAUUCAUAACAUGUAUUCUAUUGAGAGAUGAACAGUCUUUAUCUUCACAACUUGUUGCACAUUAAUAGCUUGUCGUGACCUACAAGAAUCAUUGAGCCCCUCAUAAUUCUCACAUGGUACGCGUAACCUUACCAUACCGUUGGUAUAAAGUGAUGCUUUGGUCACACAAUGUACCCACACAAUGUUAGGCAGUGGUCAAUUACCCUACUUUCAUGUAUUACUUGAGGAUAUUUUGGAACAUGUAAAUGUAAUACAGAGUGACAUUUGUAUAGGUAACUACAAAAAUUUGGACCUA